AGAGUUUGAUCCUGGCUCAGAACGAACGCUGGCGGCGUGCCUAACACAUGCAAGUCGAACGGAGUGAAGGAGCUUGCUCUUUCAUUUAGUGGCGCACGGGUGAGUAACGCGUAGAUAAUCUGCCUUGGACUCUGGGAUAACAUCUCGAAAGGGGUGCUAAUACCGGAUAAGCCCACGAUGGCGUAAGUCAUUGCGGGAAAAGGGGGCCUCUGAAUAUGCUCCUGAUUCAAGAUGAGUCUGCGUACCAUUAGCUAGUUGGUAGGGUAAGAGCCUACCAAGGCGACGAUGGUUAGCUGGUCUGAGAGGAUGAUCAGCCACACUGGAACUGAGACACGGUCCAGACUCCUACGGGAGGCAGCAGUGGGGAAUUUUGCGCAAUGGGGGAAACCCUGACGCAGCAACGCCGCGUGAGUGAUGAAGGCUUUCGGGUCGUAAAGCUCUGUCUAGAGGGAAGAAAUGAUAGUCGGUUAAUACCCGGUUUUCUUGACGGUACCUCUGAAGGAAGCACCGGCUAACUCCGUGCCAGCAGCCGCGGUAAA
rnacentral:rRNA from 1 species